UCAGAGCGCCCUCUCUAAUGGCACUCACUGAUCAUGACAGAUGAAGCGAUGCGUUCUGCGAGCUCGGUGCCCCCCAAUCGGCGCGGCCUGGAGGAAGGUGCUGACCGCCAGGAAGCCGACAUCAACCCCGGUGUCCUCUUCUUCGCAACCUACAGCUUCAGCAAGCAACCAGCGGCAGCCACCAUGUUUUCCAACUCCAGCAUGGAGGACACACACAACCAGCUCGAGGGAAUGACUGAAAGAUACAAUAGACAGCAGACCACAAGGACAACGGUUAGACUUGCAAGGGUUUUAGUUACCUUCUCGACGCCUCAAUGCUUAUAGUGAGAGCUCACUUUGAAUUCAUGGAGAAGCUGGGAGUUGACAAAUGGCGCUUCAUGAUAGGGAUAUUGCCCCAGACGUCUAAACUCUCGAAGUUUUGAUGUUUUGUGCGGUGUCGGAGUUCUCACCACAUCCUUUUGCUGCUCUUGUUGGGUGGCAGUUUGUGCUACACUGGCUUGCUUCCGAAGAAAUGCAUAGACAACUCGACAUACAUUGAGACAUACCCAGAUAUUGGAUAAAUUGCUUUUGGUAUACUGGUCAAAUCUUUGUAUUGGUGGGCAUUCACUGAAAGUACAGAGUUAUGCAAAACUGGACUCUUCUAUUGUUGACCUGGCUGAUCACAUCUCUUUUGCAGGUUGUUCUUCACCUGGAGCUUUAUGUAAGUACAAUCUGAAUUCUGUGUAAAUUGCCAGUAUGCCUUUGACUGUUGAACACAAGUAAAAUUUCUUAUAUUUGCACGCAAGUUGUGUGGCAGACUGGCAGUACAUCGCGUUGCUAGGAGGUAGCAUCAUUAGUGUUUUUCGUUGGAACAUUUAGGUUUUACCGGCAUCAACUUGAAUGCACAUGAUCUAUUUGUAAUCACAAUGCCCUUAGCAAUUCUCCCAUCAGUCUGGCUCAGGAACCUCAGCCUCCUCUCAUAUAUUUCUGGUAAGUAGAAAUGUAGAAUGUCUAAAACAUUCCCUCUUAUUUCUGAUCUUUCAGAGCAAUGCAAGACUAUUAAGUUAUAAUAAAUUUUUCUAAAGAAUGACAAUAUCAUUUGACUCUUACUGAUAAUCUUUCAUUCAAUUUUUAACAACAAAAAUAUCUUUUGGUGAAUGAACAUGGCAAUAGUUCAUCCUAACAGUUUUUUUUAUACUCCAUCCUAACAGUUCAACUCCAAACUUUUUUUUUUUUGAGGGCGUUCAACUCCAAACAUUGAGCAGCAGUCAUGGUCGAAAUCACGGAUACCAGAGAAGAAGAGUCAGUGUCUGCUUCUUUGCCAUUACAUCUUUUGCUUUUAAUUAUGGGUCUCAUUAUGCUAAUCCUUCAGGUAACAUUGUGAGAAUAAGUAUACUUAAUUUCUCUAGCUUAUAUCAAUAUUUGAAUAUAUCUGAACUGCAUGGGUUCUGAAUCAACUAAUUUGGUGAUUUCCUUCUAUAUUUUUUUCUGAUACAUAUAUAUUUAAAUGCAUAGAGAUGUUUUCAUCGACAAUCUUAAAUUUCCUUGUUUGGGUUCUGCAUUUUUUUCAACUAUGACAUGUGUUUCAUUUUAUCCUUUUCAACAAUAUGAUAGUUUAAGUUAGAAUUGAUUAUAUGUUUUAUCCCACAGUAGUGGAUACGUUCACACAAUUGCUACAAAAUAAGUAUACAAGAGGAUGAUUAGUUUAUGCUUGAUGGUACAGUGUUCCAUUAAAACUCCAUAGUUCAGUGUCCCUUUAUCCGUAUUAUUGAUUGGUACAGUCCUGCAUUGAUCAUGCAUGUGAAAAAGCUCUCAAUGGCUCUAGCAAGGCAGUAUAGGGAUAUCUCUAUUAUUCUGCUCUUCUUCUCGAUAGACAGUGCCAAACCUGUCGGAGGCUACCAUGUGCAAACAAUUUAAUUAGUAUCAUGAAGCUACAUCAUUAAGAGGGCCUAGAAGGAUAUAUUCAUUCAUUUGCCUUUAUGAAUUACUGCUUUUUGUAACACCAAAGUAGCCUAGCUAGACUCCAGGCUUGAUGCUCUAUAAGAUUGAUUUUGUGUAUAGUAGCAUGUACAUUGUAUAGAUAUGCAUGCUGUUUGUUCCACCGCAUGCGCAACAUCAUUCUGCACCUGUGAGAAUCAUCUGUACUUUAUGCCUGUCUUUUUACCUAUGUAACAUUCUGCAUCUGUGAGAAUCUGCUAUGCUUUAUGCCUGCCAUUUUAUCAAUCUGGAUGCUAACUAGUGCCAGUAAUGUCUCAGUGACAAGAAAUGUAUCAAAAGUCAAGAGUAUGCAUCAGAUAUAGUUUGCCUAUUCUGAAAAAUGUUCUUCCAAAGACAAAGGGAUUCAAUAGCUGUUUGCAAGAGCCGAGGAGUUCCAUAGAUGCUGUUUAUGAUAUCACAAAUGCAUAUAAGCAUCGGUUACCGACUUUUCUUUACAAUGUUUAUGGCAUUGAUCCUUCCAAAAUCCACACCAUAGCAACAUGUCUCUGACAUACCAACAAUGGAAGGUGAAGU